UACGGAACACAAUCGACAACAUGAUGUUUAGGUACAUUCCGAGAACACAAUUGUGAUUACACAGCGGUUAUACGUUGGUUGGUUUUAUCUUUAACAAAUAGAUUACGUGAUUCAUCGUGCAGAGUGCACUCAAGACGUGUGUAGUAUGAUAUAAAUUUCAAUCUCAAUAUUCUAAUCUAAAUGAUAAACAAAAUAUAUGUACAAAUUAAUGAACAUCAACUAGAUGUCAAGUAAUUUUUAACUAAUAUUUGUCGGACUUGUGUCAAGUACUGAUAACUAAAUAAACAAUUCAAAAUUAAGCAAAUGCAAAAUAUCCAUCUGUUCGGACAAAAAAAAUGUAAUAUUUCAAUAACACCGAAACAGUAAGUAUCUCAUUAUUAAUUUUAUACUUUAAACGUUACAUAAGAUCGAUGCAACUGAAUACCAUGAAAAAUAUUUUGUAUUCUACACAUAUCAUCACAGGUUAGAUAAAUUAAUACAGAUUUAUUGCUGAUACAAAUUGACAAAUGAUACAAAAACUUGACUUUCUUGUCUGUACUAUAUCUUACUAAAUUUUCAUUUGAAUCAUUAUUUUAAAAAAUAAAAAAAAUAUUUUUUUAUUAUAAUAGUGUAAUUUUAAGAUAUUUUUCAAUAUUUCUUAAAAUAAAGGGUUUUUCAAAUCGAUAUAAUGAGAGCUGAGAAUGGAUGAACAUAAAACACACACCAUCAAAAACCAAUACCCGCUUAGCUUCACAUCGUAGCUAAAACAUUUUAAAAUGAAAAGUUGAUAACCAUGAAUGACUAAUCUGAUAAUUAAUUGGAUUCUAGACAUAAGAACUAUAUUUUUUAAUUUCUAAAGAUAGCUUUUAAAAAAACUAAAUUAAAAAAAAUAAUUUUUAAUUUUAAAGUAUGUAUAAAAAUAAAGAAA